rnacentral:rRNA from 1 species
ACUGCUCAGUAACACGUGGACAACCUGCCCUUAGGUUGGGUAUAAACCCGGGAAACUGGGUAUAAUCCCCUAUAAGUCUCGGCUGCUGGAAUGCACCGAGAUUAAAAGCUCCGGCGCCUAAGGAUGGGUCUGCGGCCUAUCAGGUAGUAGUGGGUGUAGCGUACCUACUAGCCUACGACGGGUACGGGUUGUGAGAGCAAGAGCCCGGAGAUGGAUUCUGAGACACGAAUCCAGGCCCUACGGGGUGCAGCAGGCGCGAAAACUUUACAAUGCUGGCAACAGCGAUAAGGGAACCUCGAGUGCCAGGUUACAAAUCUGGCUGUCGAGAUGCCUAAAAAGCAUUUCAUAGCAAGGGCCGGGCAAGACCGGUGCCAGCCGCCGCGGUAACACCGGCGGCUCGAGUGGUAACCGUUAUUAUUGGGUCUAGAGGGUCUGUAGCCGGCCGGAUAAGUCUCUUGAGAAAUCUGGCAGCUUAACUGUCAGGCUUUCAGGAGAUACUGUCUGGCUCGAGGCCGGGAGAGGUGAGAGGUACUUCAGGGGUAGGGGUGAAAUCUUGUAAUCCUUGAAGGACCACCAGUGGCGAAGGCGUCUCACCAGAACGGACCUGACGGCAAGGGACGAAAGCUGGGGGCACGAACCGGAUUAGAUACCCGGGUAGUCCUAGCCGUAAACGAUACUCGCUAGGUGUCGGCCACGGUGCGACCGUUGUCGGUGCCGUAGGGAAGCCGUGAAGCGAGCCACCUGGGAAGUACGGCCGCAAGGCUGAAACUUAAAGGAAUUGGCGGGGGAGCAC